UACGUAGGGUGCAAGCGUUGUCCGGAAUUAUUGGGCGUAAAGAGCUUGUAGGCGGUUUGUCGCGUCUGCCGUGAAAAUUCGAGGCUCAACCUCGAACUUGCGGUGGGUACGGGCAGACUAGAGUGUGGUAGGGGAGACUGGAAUUCCUGGUGUAGCGGUGAAAUGCGCAGAUAUCAGGAGGAACACCGGUGGCGAAGGCGGGUCUCUGGGCAGUUACUGACGCUGAGGAGCGAAAGCAUGGGGAGCGAACAGG
rnacentral:rRNA from 1 species